rnacentral:lncRNA from 1 species
UAAAAAAUAAAGCAAGUAGGGCCCAGUUAUGUUUUUCUUUCACAUUUUAUUUUUAAGAAAAGACCAAAAAAUGAAAAUGGAAAAAUCCAAAAAGAUUUUGCACUUCCCCAUUAUUUUGUUCAAAAAAAAAAUCAGAAAAAGAAAAUCCAAAAGGGUUUACAUGUUUCAUCAUUUUUCAAAAACAAAAGACAAAAAAUAUGUUUUCUCUAAAUUAGUUGUGUUUUUUUUAAUUCUCGCCCGUAUCCAAUUUGCCUGAACUAUGCAUACCUGAUUCUCGUCUUUUGGGGCGUGAUACGUAGGCAACCCGCAUAGGGUCUGGUCUUCCUAGUAAAUCUUAGGUUCUUGGCUUUGCGGGAUCUUAGCCAAAUUCAGGAGUUGCUUGUUGGGAAUAGUGUGAACUGAGUUGUAUUGUUGGACUCUACUGUUGAAAUAUUUAGAGUUCAAGUUGAAAUUCUCUUGUCAAACUGCUUAUAUGCUGAUGAAUGUUCUGUUGGGAUCAGUCCUUGAUUGUGGGAGCAUUGUUUUGUGAUUUUAAUUCAAUCUAUGAGCUAUUUAUGGGGCCAUGUUUGAAAGUAAAUCCUGCAUUGAAGUUUUUAGAGUAAAUUGAUAGCUGAAAUUCCCCUAGUUUGAACUUGUUACCAACAGUUUCAAAUAGUUGUUGUUGUCAUUGAGUUUAAUUGAGGGGAUUCAGUUGGACUAGAGAUUGAGUAGCUUGAAUUAUGAUUUGGUUGAGCAUAUAGUAAGCUAAGUCUGCCGAAAAUUUGUGUUAGUUGAGAUUGUGCUUGAGUUCAGCAGUGAUAGUUGAAAUCUGGUUUUUACUUCUAAAAUAUUCUCCUUGUUGAAUUGAGUGCUCUUGUUCCAUAAACUAUUGUCCAGUUGGUUAGAAUCUGCUGAUAGAAGUUGAAGGUUUGCUGCUAGUUUCCUGUUGCUGUAAAAGAUUUUGUGCUUGCUGCCCGCAGUCCUGUAUUGUUCAGUUUCUGUUCAAUAGUGAAGAUGUUCGUUUUUUGGGGGGAUUGAUGUUACGACAGUUUUUCUGAACAGUUGAGGGAGUUUUGCACAAGUUUUAGCUUCAGUUAACUCAACUGCAUUGCUCCAGGUUAUAUGCCAACAAUACACUACUGAAAUUCAAGUUUUGAGUAUCUUUUUGAAAGCAAAUUCUGCAUUGUUCAGCUGCACUUUGUCUGCACUAUUUGGUUAUUCUGGUUGAAGCUGCUGACUACUUACUUGAUUCUCCUUGCCGGAAGCAGAAGAACAUGCUAAGACUUGGGUCGUGGGGUAAGGAAACCUUCUGUUAUUGAGAGAUCCCUCAAGUUGCACUUUGAAUAUGCUUGUAAUAAAUAGAAGUAAUAUAACAGUGCUUUGUUCUCCAAGGCUUCAAGGUGUGACCAUGUUGGAUACAAUCUGAAAGUUGUGUUCCAAUCCACGUGAUCUUCUGGCUUGUACACGCUAAUCCACCAGACAACUUGCUUAACCCACAUGCAUUAGUCUACAAUUUCAUCGAUGCCUUGUUGGCAGCCAAUGUUCUCAUGCCUGUAUUUACUCUUGGAAUAGCUCUAUUUUAUAUCCCCUAGCGAUUGUUGUGAUAACUCCAGCGGCUCAAGGGAGGAGGGGGUAUGCGGACAAAAUAUUGCCUGAAGUAUUAGGAACUUUGUUUGUUACUUGAUAGAUAUUGGGAUGAAUUUGUCCAAAAAAAUUCCUAUUUAUUUUUCAGCAGAUGCAGUUUGGCUAAACGAUGAGGACACAUCGAUAACACAGCUAAAACACCAGCAGAAUCCAUGUUUGAUGAGAGCCCUGCUAGAUUUAGCUAGUGCAUCAUACACAUUUCUAAGUUCUUUCUGCCCAAGCUACAAUUUUAUGGUUUCAGGAGUUAGACACAGAAUUAGUUGAUUGUAUGUGAGAAUCAAGUCUUUUCAAGUAUGUAAUGACAGAAUAGUUGAUUGGAUACUCGCAUGCCAAAAAGAAACAGAACCUAAAGAAUUUGUGCAUUUGAAAUUUUGAAGUGUGUGACUUAUUUUUAUUAUAAUAAUUUACUUUGAUCGGAUA